AUUUUACUCUUUGUACCACACCAGUGUGCAGCAUCGGCUGAGCUCGCCUCACUCUGAGAACUAACUCUUCUACUAGAAGGGACUCUCAGCUCCUAUUUCCUUCUUAAACAUGUUGAUGGGAGAGAGUUGUCUCCCGUGAGGGGUUGUGAAAGGAUGAAUUUUUAUCCACUGGGAAGAGUUCACAGGAUUUCGCCAGCUCUGCUGAUUGUUGUUGGGUUUUUUCCUCUUUCUGUCUAAUCCCUGUUUUUUUGAGUCAAGGCGGUAAGUGGAUUUUCCUUUAACAUUCUUUCCUGCUUUUCUUCCCAAAUGUGUCUUUCUUCCUGGGGUUAUUGUACCACGCCUCCAGUGCUGUCCCCGGCAUAGGUCCGUCUCUGCAGAAGCCAUUCCAGGAAUACCUGGAGGCCCAGCGGCAGAAGCUUCACCACAGAAGCGAAAUGGGCACACCGCAGGGAGAAAACUGGUUGUCCUGGAUGUUUGAGAAGUUGGUUGUUGUAAUGGUGUGUUACUUCAUCCUGUCCAUCAUUAACUCCAUGGCACAAAGUUACGCCAAACGAAUCCAGCAGCGAUUGGACCCAAAGGAGAAAACCAAAUAAGCAGGAAAAGUUGUUAACUGCAGAAAUUAAAAUGGAAGGGUUCUGCCUUAAAGUGGGAGGACUCCAGAUCAGGAAGGAAAAUUUCCUUUUCCAACCUGUAUCAGUUUUAAUUCACCACCCCCCACCCCCGAAAGCAGUUUAAUCCACAUCUUGCACUGACAUACUUUUCCUUUGUUAAGGUAAGGUAUCCACCCUCAGUUCAAUCCAGGUUUUAUUAGGAUGGAAUGUGAUGUUCAGCAGCAAAGUUAACAGAAACUGGCCUUCUAUUUGUUACUUUCAAAGGCCCACGUGGUACAAUUAAAGAAUUCCAACCACCCCCCCCCCCCCAAAAAAAAAUUCCUAAGUUAUGUUAAAUAUUUCAAGCUUUUAAGGCUUGUCAAAUAUGACCUCUUUGUUUUUCUGAGUCAUCACAAGUGUAUAUAAGUUACACUGGAUUGGGUAACAGUCUUGCAUGUCUAUCAUGGUAAAAGUAAUAUGCCAUCCUGCCCAGCCCUUCUUCUCCCACCUUCGAAAAAAGGCCAUUUUAUGAUGCAUUGCACACCCUCUUGGGAAACUGAUCUUUCAAUUUUGAGACAGUAUAAGGAAAAUCUUGUUGGUGUCUUACAAAUGAGCUGACACCAUUUUUUAUUCUGUAUAUUUAGAAUGAAGUCAUGAAAAAACUUUAUAAAUACAUCUUUGAUCAUUCCAAAAUUGUGUCCAUUUUCUUGAGCGUUUUUUUUUAAAACUUCCUUUUAGCUUCUACCAACUAAAUUCAGCCUUGCCACAUCCACCGCAGCCACAGCCUCUUAAGCCUUCAUUUAUUUGCAUGAAAGGGCCACUGCCAGGUGUUUCUUGGUUGGGUUGGAAUUGGGCAGCUGGCUACAGACUGCUGAAAGGGCAGCUUAGGUACUGGUGUGUGGAGGCGACUUCUUGGUUUGUGAAAACAGGAGAGAUUAUAGUAUAUAAAUCAAAGGACAUGGAGAGAAAAAUAAGCUGUUUUAAAAGAAAAGAAGCUUUCUCACAGCUAUUCAUUUUUAGCUCAGCACGUAUUCUGAUUUUAGCAGAAAUUUACUUUUAUAUAUAACCUAAUUUUCUUUCUUUCGUAAGUGUUUGUUCUUAUGUGAUUUUUCCUUUCGGAUGUUUCUGGUUGAACUUGGUCAUUUUAUUUUGCUGCAGACGGGGCAGGGUCCCAGGAGUGGGGCAGUGAUAAGUAGUCUCACUUUUCGCCUUUAGGAAAAUUGGUACUGACAAUAUAUUGAGUAUAGAAUUGAGUUUAAAUCUCAACAGGCCAGAAAUGCCUGGUUUGUUUGAUCAAAUCCUGCCUGAAUGUCUGCUUGUUUUGCCUACCGUCGUGACAUCUCCAUGGCUGUACCACCUUGUCGGGUAGCUUAUCAGACUGAUGUUGACUGUUGAAUCUCAUGGCAACAGCAGUCGAUGGGCUGUCUGACAUUUUGGUAUCUUUCAUCUGACCAUCCAUAUCAAAUGUUCCCAUUCAAACAUUACCCAGCACCAUGGUUUAUGAUUAAAAGAAUUGGUCCUUAGGUCUAGUGGCACUUUGAAUCUUUCGUGCCGUACUACUGUAUCAAUAUCAAGAGGAUUUUAUGCAAAAUUGGGAUAGUCUGUGAUCAAAACUGAAUAAAGGACAAGCAGCCUGCCUUGUGAGUUUUGGAAAGGUUACUUCUUAACCAUCUUUUACCCCCUACCUAGAAACUCUAGCAAUAGUUACUUACUUGAAAAGCGGUACCCAGAUGCUUUAAGUAAACUCACGUUAACCAUUAUGAUUUUUAUCUUUAGGGUUUGUGUAAGUCUCUAAAUCAGCUUCCAGUUGUCUGUCAUCACCUUCACCCGCAUUUUAUUUGGUGUUUGUCUGAAUAAAGGAAAGAGGAAAGCAAAA
rnacentral:miRNA from 1 species